CCAGAAGCAGCUGCAUCUCAGCAGGGGCCCUUCCAUCAACGUGACAACCUGCUGAGGGCUUUGGAUCACCUCCAGAUGUGAGGCAUGUUGAGGCUAUAAAACAAAAUCAUUAGCAUUAUCUCCAUUCUUGGCCCGAGAGUCUCAGCUGAGAAUGUUUCUUGUACAGAUUUAGAGCUUUAAUUAUUCUCAUUUUUCUUCCUGGGUAGCUUCCUUUAGACAGCAUGGGAUCUUCUCUCGGAGUUGGUUUUCCUAAAAAGAAAGAAAAAGAAGAGCCCACACUGAAUAACAUCUUUUGGUGCUGUGAAAGCCAGCCAACAUGGUGAAAACUUCUUGAGAAGUACCAACUUGAUCACUUUAAAUCCCAUGAAGAAAGUAUGUAGUGUCUUCAGCAAUAAGCUCUUACCAUCAGACUGUGGUGGACAACUAUCUGUGGGACCCCUCUGACCAACAAAUUAAAGUAUGUUCAUGGUUGAUGAACCACCUAUCUGAGACCUCCGGAGAUGCUUCUUGUCAACGUGCUUUGUGAUUUGGCUCAGAAUCACAUUUUGGUGGCGGAUGUGGUAUUAUGAAUGUUCUAGAGGGGAGAGUGCUGUGCCAGGAAGCCAAGCCAAUUGAAAGUGAAGUGAAAAUUCAGAAUUAUGGAGAUUUAAUUUCCUGCUGAAUAAUUCUCCACAAGCUGUGUAAACUUCUCUUCCCUGAACAAAUACUCAGAAUAAAAUACCUUAGAUGCUCUUUUCCUUUUUAAUAAGAAAGUGUUCGAAUUAUUUGGAUGUAGAGUCAAGGGUAACAGAAGCCUGGUGUGCCCCAGCCCAAUUUGUGUAAGUCACCAAGAAUCCUGCAGUGCCCUUGGCUCACAGAGUUUGGAAGACUGGGUGUGAAGAAUUAUUUCCAGAGGUUGUUUGCCACAAAAAGCAUUAUUGAUUAUCUGUGGGAUAGUUCCUUGUAGCCUA
rnacentral:lncRNA from 1 species